AACUUUUAGCAACGGAUCUCUUGGUUCCCGCAUCGAUGAGGAACGCAGCGAAACGCGAUAGCUAAUGUGAAUUGCAGAAUUCAGUGAAUCAUCGAGUCUUUGAACGCACAUUGCGCCCAUUGGUAUUCCAAUGGGCAUGUCUGUUUGAGCGUCAUUACAACCCCUCAGCUCACGCUGGUGUUGAGCAGGCUGUUUCCAACGGCCUGCUUCAAAGUGAUGUGCUCUGCUGACCACGCUCCGGCUAGCUCAUAGUAAGUUUUACUUGUGCUUCAGUUGCGAAGGUUCGGCCUGAACAAAACCAAACCUAAGGUUUGACCUCAGAUCAGAUAAGGAUACCCGCUGAACUUAAGCAUAUCAAUAAGCGGAGGCU
rnacentral:misc_RNA from 1 species